rnacentral:rRNA from 1 species
AUUGAACGCUGGCGCCAUGCUUUACACAUGCAAGUCGAACGGUAACAGGCCGCAAGGUGCUGACGAGUGGCGAACGGGUGAGUAAUGCAUCGGAACGUGCCCAGUCGUGGGGGAUAACGCAGCGAAAGCUGCGCUAAUACCGCCUACGAUCUAUGGAGGAAACCGGGGGACCGUAAGGCCUCGCGUCAUUGGAGCGGCCGAGGUCAGAUUAGGUAGUUGGUGGGGUAAAGGAUCACCAAGCCAACGAUCUGUAGCUGGUCUGAGAGGACGACCAGCCACACUGGGACUGAGACACGGCCCAGACUCCUACGGGAGGCAGCAGUGGGGAAUUUUGGACAAUGGGCGCAAGCCUGAUCCAGCAAUGCCGCGUGCAGGAAGAAGGCCUUCGGGUUGUAAACUGCUUUUGUACGGAACGAAACGGCUCUGGUUAAUACCUGGGGCUAAUGACGGUACCGUAAGAAUAAGCACCGGCUAACUACGUGCCAGCAGCCGCCGCAGUAA